rnacentral:piRNA from 1 species
UCCAAAGGGAGGGUAUUUGGAAACCU